AUGCCGUAAACGAUGAGUGCUAGGUGUUGGAGGGUUUCCGCCCUUCAGUGCCGGAGCUAACGCAUUAAGCACUCCGCCUGGGGAGUACGACCGCAAGGUUGAAACUCAAAGGAAUUGACGGGGGCCCGCACAAGCGGUGGAGCAUGUGGUUUAAUUCGAAGCUACGCGAAGAACCUUACCAGGUCUUGACAUCUUGCGCUAACCUUAGAGAUAAGGCGUUCCCUUCGGGGACGCAAUGACAGGUGGUGCAUGGUCGUCGUCAGCUCGUGUCGUGAGAUGUUGGGUUAAGUCCGCAACGAGCGCAACCCUUGUUACUAGUUGCCAGCAUUAAGUUGGGCACUCUAGUGAGACUGCCGGUGACAAACCGGAGGAAGGUGGGGACGACGUCAGAUCAUCAUGCCCCUUAUGACCUGGGCUACACACGUGCUACAAUGGACGGUACAACGAGUCGCAAGCUCGCGAGAGUAAGCUAAUCUCUUAAAGCCGUUCUCAGUUCGGACUGUAGGCUGCAACUCGCCUACACGAAGUCGGAAUCGCUAGUAAUCGCGGAUCAGCAUGCCGCGGUGAAUACGUUCCCGGGCCUUGUACACACCGCCCGUCACACCAU
rnacentral:rRNA from 2 species